UCGGGUUGUAAAGCACUUUUGUCCGGAAGAAAACCUCUGGGUUAAUACCCCGGGGGGAUGACGGUACCGGAAGAAUAAGCAUCGGCAACUACGUGCCAGCAGCCGCGGUAAUACGUAGGGUGCAAGCGUUAAUCGGAAUUACUGGGCGUAAAGCGUGCGCAGGCGGUCCGCUAAGACAGAUGUGAAAUCCCCGGGCUUAACCUGGGAACUGCAUUUGUGACUGGCGGGCUAGAGUAUGGCAGAGGGGGGUAGAAUUCCACGUGUAGCAGUGAAAUGCGUAGAGAUGUGGAGGAAUACCGAUGGCGAAGGCAGCCCCCUGGGCCAAUACUGACGCUCAUGCACGAAAGCGUGGGGAGCAAACAGGAUUAGAUACCCUGGUAGUCCACGCCCUAAACGAUGUCAACUAGUUGUCGGGUCUUCAUUGACUUGGUAACGUAGCUAACGCGUGAAGUUGACCGCCUGGGGAGUACGGUCGCAAGAUUAAAACUCAAAGGAAUUGACGGGGACCCGCACAAGCGGUGGAUGAUGUGGAUUAAUUCGAUGCAACGCGAAAAACCUUACCUACCCUUGACAUGUAUGGAAUCCUGCUG
rnacentral:rRNA from 1 species